rnacentral:rRNA from 1 species
UACAGAGGGUGCAAGCGUUAUUCGGAUUUACUGGGCGUAAAGAGCACGUAGGUGGUUCUUCAAGUCUGAUGUGAAAUCCCUGGACUCAAUCCAGGAAGUGCAUCGGAUACUGUCGAACUUGAGUACAGGAGAGGACAGCGGAAUUCCCGGUGUAGAGGUGAAAUUCGUAGAUAUCGGGAGGAACAACAGUGGCGAAGGCGGCUGUCUGGACUGUAACUGACACUGAGGUGCGAAAGCGUGGGGGGCAAACAGG